AACGUAGGAGACGAACGUUAUCCGGAGUUACUGGGCGUAAAGGGCGUGUAGGCGGUUUGUUAAGUCUGGCGUGAAAGCUCUCGGCUAAACCGGGAGAGGUCGUUGGAUACUGGCGAACUAGAGGAUGGUAGAGGCGUGUGGAAUUCCGGGUGUAGUGGUGAAAUGCGUAGAGAUCGGCAGGAACACCCAGGGGGAAACCAGUCGACUGGGCAGCACCUGACGCUGAGGUGCGAGAGCGUGGGGAGCGAACCGG
rnacentral:rRNA from 1 species